rnacentral:rRNA from 1 species
UACGUAGGAGACGAGCGUUGUCCGGAGUUACUGGGCGUAAAGGGUGCGCAGGUGGCGGCGCGCGUGGGGGGUGAAAUCGCCCGGCUUAACUGGGCGGGGGCCUUCCAGACGGCGUGGCUUGAGCAGCGGAGGGGGACGUGGAAUUCCGGGUGGAGCGGUGAAAUGCGUAGAGAUCCGGAGGAACACCGGUGGCGAAGGCGGUUCUCUGGGCCUUACCUGACGCUGAGGAGCGAAAGCGUGGGGAGCGAACAGG